AUAUUAAACAGUGGUAGGGUUAGGCCAGACUGCUGGGUGGAGGUGAAUCCAUAUUAAACAGUGGUAGGGUUCAGCCAGACUGCUGGGUGGAGGUGAAUCCAUAUUAAACAGCGGUAGGGUUCAGCCAGACUGCUGGGUGGAGGUGAAUCCAUAUUAAACAGUGGUAGGGUUCAGCCAGACUGCUGGAACAGCGGUAGGGUUCAGCCAGACUGCUGGGUGGAGGUGAAUCCAUAUUAAACAGUGGUAGGGUUCAGCCAGACUGCUGGGUGGAGGUGAAUCCAUAUUAAACAGUGGUAGGGUUAGGCCAGACUGCUGGGUGGAAGUUGAGGUGAAUCCAUAAAGAGGUCCAGAGUUAGGCUAUGUUCUGUUUUCCUUCCUCACCGAGACAGACACGGUUUUAUCCAGUUUAAACUGGACUGAACCGGUCAGUAGAACAGUAAACUAGUGUGACGCAGUUUGGAGCACAGUGAUCCACUUCGAACCAGUCUGAUCUGGUUUGUCUCUAUGAAGCACAGUGACU
rnacentral:lncRNA from 13 species